AGGCAGUCCCUAGAACCAUUCAAACAGUCAGAGACAUGACCCUUUGGUUGAAUCUUCUCCUGUUCUCUGCCUUUUUCUCAGAAUGUCGUUCAGCGGUGCAGCUGGUGGAGACGGGAGGAGGUGUUGUGUCCCCAGGAGGCUCCCUCCGCCUCACCUGCAAAGCUUCAGGAUUCCCUUUUAGCGGCUAUAGCAUGCAUUGGGUCCGCCAGGCUGCCGGGAAAGGCCUCGAGUGGGUGGCAGGAAUAAGGUAUGAUGGUGCUGAUCAGUGGUACAACUCCAAGGUUCAGGGAAGAUUCACCAUCUCCAGAGACAACCCUCAGAGUUCAGUGGAUCUGCGGAUGGGAAGCUUGAAGCCCGAAGACUCUGGCGUGUAUUACUGUGUAAGGGACACAGUUACAACUUCUGCUUUCAAGCUUGUACAAAAACCUCAGAUCCCCUUGAGUGUGGAGUGUGGAGGCAAGAGUUCAACCCUCAUUUUCUCUACUGCUGGAAUGGAGGAGGCAGAGAGGAAAACAUGGCCAGUGACAGAGACAUUAAAAAUAGAACAUUGUGAGGAAUCAUGGUCAGGAAACUAA